UGCAGCAGGCCCAUGCGCACGUUGGCACCCUCAUCCUGUGGGCUCAGUGCCAGCGCCUGCUGGUAGUCCGCCUCCGCAAAGGCUCUUCUCCUGCUGCUCGUCCCUGAGGGCCUUGUUGAGCAGCAGCACGCCCUCCUGGUAGGCGCCCUGCGUGUAGCAGUGCACCGCGAAGUCGUUGUAGGCCAGCAGAAGCUGUCGCUGCACCUGCCGCACCGUGUCCUCCUGGCUCUUGCUCGUCAUGUCCAGCGCCUUCAGGAAGUCCUCCACAGCAGCGUCAAACUCCUGGAGGCGGCGGUACAUGGUGCCCCUUCGGGGGAGAGGGGCAUGAGGACCAAGGCAACCCCCACCAACCCGGGAGGCCAGCCAGACCGUUGGCCAGUCUGAACCAUCUUGACUGGUAGAGGUGGCAUGAGGGCCCCCCUCCCUCCUCAUGCACUAGUUUAGGUGUGGGGCGGGCUCUGUGUUACCGCUUGGAUAACCUACUGGUCACUGGUAGUUUCAUUUUACUCAAAAAUAGCUUCCACCUUUAUUUUUGG